UUUAAUUACAAUAUCUUUCAAGAUUAUAUUA
rnacentral:rRNA from 1 species